rnacentral:rRNA from 1 species
UUACCAGGUCUUGACAUCCUCUGACAACCCUAGAGAUAGGGCUUUCCCUUCGGGGACAGAGUGACAGGUGGUGCAUGGUUGUCGUCAGCUCGUGUCGUGAGAUGUUGGGUUAAGUCCCGCAACGAGCGCAACCCUUGAUCUUAGUUGCCAGCAUUCAGUUGGGCACUCUAAGGUGACUGCCGGUGACAAACCGGAGGAAGGUGGGGAUGACGUCAAAUCAUCAUGCCCCUUAUGACCUGGGCUACACACGUGCUACAAUGGACAGAACAAAGGGCUGCAAGACCGCAAGGUUUAGCCAAUCCCAUAAAUCUGUUCUCAGUUCGGAUCGCAGUCUGCAACUCGACUGCGUGAAGCUGGAAUCGCUAGUAAUCGCGGAUCAGCAUGCCGCGGUGAAUACGUUU